UAGGAAUCUGCCUGGUAGUGGGGGAUAACGUUCCGAAAGGAACGCUAAUACCGCAUAACGUCCUACGGGAGAAAGCAGGGGACCUUCGGGCCUUGCGCUAUCAGAUGAGCCUAGGUCGGAUUAGCUAGUUGGUGAGGUAAUGGCUCACCAAGGCGACGAUCCGUAGCUGGUCUGAGAGGACGAUCAGCCACACUGGGACUGAGACACGGCCCAGACUCCUACGGGAGGCAGCAGUGGGGAAUUUUGGACAAUGGGGGCAACCCUGAUCCAGCAAUGCCGCGUGUGUGAAGAAGGCCUUCGGGUUGUAAAGCACUUUUGUCCGGAAAGAAAUCGCGCUGGUUAAUACCUGGCGUGGAUGACGGUACCGG
rnacentral:rRNA from 1 species